CAGUCGCCACGGGAAUACGGAGGGAGCUAGCGUUGUUCGGAAUUACUGGGCGUAAAGCGCGCGUAGGCGGUUACUCAAGUCAGAGGUGAAAGCCCGGGGCUCAACCCCGGAACUGCCUUUGAAACUAGGUGACUAGAAUCUUGGAGAGGUCAGUGGAAUUCCGAGUGUAGAGGUGAAAUUCGUAGAUAUUCGGAAGAACACCAGUGGCGAAGGCGACUGACUGGACAAGUAUUGACGCUGAGGUGCGAAAGCGUGGGGAGCAAACAGGAUUAGAUACCCCAGUAGUCCCUGUCUCUUAUAC
rnacentral:rRNA from 1 species